UGGGGAAUAUUGGACAAUGGGCGCAAGCCUGAUCCAGCCAUGCCGCGUGAGUGAUGAAGGCCCUAGGGUUGUAAAGCUCUUUCACCGGUGAAGAUAAUGACGGUAACCGGAGAAGAAGCCCCGGCUAACUUCGUGCCAGCAGCCGCGGUAAUACGAAGGGGGCUAGCGUUGUUCGGAUUUACUGGGCGUAAAGCGCACGUAGGCGGACUUUUAAGUCAGGGGUGAAAUCCCGGGGCUCAACCCCAGAACUGCCUUUGAUACUGGAAGUCUUGAGUAUGGUGGAGGUGAGUGGAAUUCCGAGUGUAGAAGUGAAAUUCGUGGAUAUUCGGAGGAACACCAGUGGCGAAAGCGGCUCACUGGACCAUUACUGACGCUGAGGUGCGAAAGCGUGGGGAGCAAACAGG
rnacentral:rRNA from 1 species